rnacentral:lncRNA from 1 species
UAUAAUAGCACGGCGAGCGUAGAGUGAGUUAAAUGUUGCAGGUAAAGUAGUUGCAAGUUUAGCAAUCUGCUGCGGCUGGAAAGUCGUUGGAAGGUCUGAACGGUUGCCGACAUUUGACAACUUGGUGAGAUCACUCAUAUCUACUGUAAGUGUUGCAAGUCGAGAUUCCACACCUGCAACAGGGAAUUUUAGGUGUCAACUUUAGUGUAGAGAGAGAUGCUUAAAGAGAGAGACCUAUACUUACAGAUUGGAAGAGAUUGAUUAAACCAAGCUAUACAACACAACCCUUCGGGGCCGUUUGGUAGGAGGUAUAAGGUGGGAUAUCCCAUUGAUAAGUUUGAGAUAUCCCAUGGAUAAAAUUUAUACCGUGUUUGGUUGAUGGUAUAAAUUUAUCCAGAGACUAACUUAUACCAUCAACCAAACACGGUAUAAAGCUAAUACCAAAUCUGGUUUUGGUAUAACCCAUCUUAGUCCAUCAACCCUGGACUAUUUUAUAACACCUCCUAUAGGGUAUAAAAUAGUCCAGGAAUUAUAAUCACGGGAUUAUGGGAUUAUAAUCCCGAGAUAAUUUAGUCUACGUACCAAACGACCCCUUCAGGUUAUAUCUACCCAUCCCCGGCCCCCAAGGAAGGCGAUUGCACAUGUUGAGCGGGGAUCUGAAUUUGGAGCACGUUGGUAUAAAAUUUUCUAAUAUUUCUUCAGUACCAGAAAAUCAGGUCUGAGUGGUUUGAUCUUUUAAAUGUGUACAGCAAGACUGUCACUUGCCUUUAGAACUUUGACAUGGUCCUUGACUAAGACAAACUAUUUUAAAGGUCGACAAAAGUUAUCAUCCCUGGAUCUAGGGAAGAUAUCAUCUACGAGUUACAGAGUUUACUCUUGAACUUAUAAUAUCUCAAAAACGGGUUUGUGUACAUUAAGGAUUUUCUAAUCAUGUUUCUACAAGUUUCUUAACCAAGAAAAGAAAGAAGAGUAUGAACAGAAGCCAGAAAAAUUAUGAAGCUAUUUAUAUGCAUUUGGAAAAGAUGGAUCUUUGGAGACAAUUCUGCCAUGGAGUAUUAAUAACUGGCGAAAAGAAAUUGGAGGCAAUCAGGAACUUUUCUCGUAUGGCCUCAGACGACAAAAUCAAGCUGCAAAUGUAAAAAUGGCGGAGUUAUUGACAGAGACUCAAGACAGUACACACAAAUUGGUGAACUCACAUCAAAUAGCCUCCAUCAAAGGCAGGCAAAUCAUGGAUGCUGCACUAAUUGCAAAUGAAUCCCUAGAUUCCAGAAGUAAGGAGAAGAAACCUGUGAUCCUUUGCAAGCUAGACAUAGAAAAGGCAUUUGAUCAUGUGAAUUGGGGUUUCCUUUUGAAUAUGAUGGAGAGAAUGGGGUUUGGCUCAAAGUGGGUAAAUUGGAUUAGAUUUUGUAUCAGUACUAUCAAGUUCUCAGUUUUGAUCGAUGGAUCCCCUGAAGGUUUUUUCCCCUCACACAGAGGACUGAGGCAGGAGAUCCUCUUUCUCCUUUCCUCUUUCUGUUGACCAUGGAGGGCUUGGAUAACAUGUUAAUUAUAGCUCAGAGGAAUAGUUGGCUCAGAGGAUUCAAGGUCAACAAGAAGCAAGGUGAUAGCAUGGAAAUUACACAUCUGCUGUAUACAGAUGAUGCAAUCAUCCUAUGUGAGGCAGAUGCGGAACAAAAGAGGACAGAGAAUUAUUCUAUCUUUGAAGGGGUAUCUGAAUCACAAGUUAACUGGAGGAAGAGUUCUAUGUUUCCAGUCAAUGAUCCUCAGCAGUUCCAGAAAUGCGUGCAAAUAUUAGGAGAAGUGGUGGCACUUGGAGCAAAUAGUAGAUCCAUACAAAUUUGGAAUGGGGUGUUACAGAAAUGCAAGAAGAAACUUACCAGAUGGAAGAGCCAGUAUCUUUCUUGCGGUGGCAGGCUAACUCUCAUAACAGUGUCCUAGAUGCUCUAUUUACCUACACAUGAUGUCUCUUUUCCAUAUUCCCCCUCGGGUUGAAAAGAGAAUGGAUAUGUUGAGAAGCAAUUUUUUGAGGCAAGGUAACAAAGACAAGAGGCAUCCACCUUGUCAAAUGGAAAACCCUGACACUCAGCACACAACAAGGGGGCCUUGGUGUAAAGAAUCUAAGCAAGCAAAGUCAAAGUUUGCUCAUGAAGUGGCUAUGGAGAUUUCAAAUGAAGACCAAUCUCACUGGAAGAAGGCGAUUAAAGAGAAGUAUGGAGGAGAAGAUGCAUGGACUAAAACAGUUAACAAUGUAUAUGGGGACAGUGUCUGGAAGACUAUUAGAAAUCUAUGGCAGAUUUUCAGUAUACACAAAGUUGGGAAUGGUCACAAGAUCUCUUUUUGGGACGAUAACUGGUUAGGAUCUGGCACCCUCAGAAUUCAACACCCAGAUGUUUUCUUACUAAAUCAACAACAAAGAGCUAAUAUUAGUGAAGUUUGGAAUAAUCAAGGAUGGGACCUCAGUUUCAGGAGGCGUUUAUAUGAUUGGGAGAUGGCCAGAUUCAUAUGAUUCCUCAACACUCUCAAUUUCUUCAAUGGAGUAUCACUAGAGCAAGAUAGAUUUAUGGUGGCUGAGAGACGGUUCAGGAGCUUUUUUGGUCAAGAUAGCAUAUCAUAUGAGGAACCAUAACAACAAUCUUAGUGUGCAGUGGCCUUGGAAGCAAUUAUGAAAGACCAAGAUACCAUACAAAGUGCCCUGUUUUGUUUGGUUGGUAAUUAAGAGGGCUUGCUUGACACAAGACAGACUGCAAAGAAGAAUACACCUUUGCUCUAUCUGCCAUCUAUGGGGAAGAAAUGCAGAAACAAAUAGUCAUCCUUUUUUGCAUUGUAAGGUGACUCCUCAACUAUGGGAUAUAUUUCUAGCAAUGAUUGGUUUGAGUUGGACAAUGCCAAUGAAUACACUAGAUAUGCUAUCUAGCUGGAAUAGAAAAGGAGGAAUAAAAGAUCCAAAAAUCAGUUGGAGUAUGAUCCCAGGCUGCAUAUGGUGGACUAUCUGGAAGGAAAGAAAUUCAAGAUGUUUUGAGAACAAAAGCAACCCUAUCCAGAAGAUAAAGCUUAAUUGUAUUCUGCUUUUGCAUUUUUGGUGUAAACAAGAGUAUAUAAGUGACACACAGACUCUCACACAGUUCCUAGAGUCUCUAUAGCUAACUAGCAGACUUUUCUGUAGCUUUUACUUAGAUUUUGUUCGUUGUAACUUUAGCCAUAACAGGCCCUGUUGACUUAAAUACAAAAGUGUUACCAUUUCAACAAAAAAAAGAUGUCUAUAGUAUAUUCAACUAAAGGUUGAAACAAGAGAAACUGAAUAUACUGCAGAGACAUGCAUGUCAAGAUCAAAAUAGUAUAAGCAGGUUACUAAGUUGAUGUGAAUAAAUAUUGUUUGUGGUAUGAAAAUUUGGAAGAGGAAGCGGGGUCCCUUCUAUAAAUUCCUCCUGCUCAGGCAACUAAGAGUAGAGCACCCAGUGUCCUCAUAUCUCUGAGUUUGGAUCCCAGAGCUCUAAAGAAACUAGGGAAGUACUCCCUCGGUUUCAUUUUAUGUGACCCUGUUUAAUUGGCAUGAAAUUUAAGAAAGAAGAAAGACUUUGGAACUUGUGGAAAGACUUGAACAUACCACAACAUUAGACAUUUGUGGAGAUAAAAUCAUGUCAUUAAAGGUAAAAUAUUUCAAAUAUAAAAAGGGCAUGUCAUUAAAGGUAAAAUAUUUCAAAUAUAAAAAGGGGUCAAUUCUUUUGGAUCAAACUAAGAACGAAAUAGUAUCACAUAAAAUAUAACAAAAUACAAUAUUUUCACUUGGUAUUCAAAAAAGAGGUUAUUCUCACAGUAAGGUUCAAGAUCUGGUGCGCAUUUCUAGUCAAUUUUUGGUGUUCCCAUGAGUUUCUUGUUAAUAUAGAUGGCUGUGAGUUGUUUGUAGAUCGGUGUAAGCUUUCUACUGCACAACUUGCAUACAGAGGCUUAAAUGUUAAAAUAUUAAAAAAUUAUCAAUUACCUCAUCUGGAAAAUGAAACUUCUCUAUUGAGAGAGAAAUUUGGGAAUAGUAGAAACAAACUAUAGAUGACAAGGUGGAGGAACGAACAAAUUCUAGUCCAAUACUCAUCGAUCAUUCUAAUAAUGAUUAUUAAGGGUGCGUCUAAGACUAACACUGUUUACAAAAAGAUGAGCGCAAUGGCUAGAGAGAACUCAUUAGCUUACUAAAAGGUGGCGCUGGUUGACACGCAUAGAAUUCAUUAGCUUACUCGUGGUGGUGUUCGUUGAUGCGCAUCACUCAAGGAAAACUAGGAAGAUUCAGGAAGAUGUGACAGUUACCCCGAGAUGUGCAGCAAUAAUAUUUUUUUGAAAUAUUAGUAUUAUAUGCUUUGUCUGACUUCAGAUGGAAAUUUUCAAAUUGUGAUCAGUUUCCCUUUUUUUGGAUCAAGUGGAGAUCACAUUCAUAUGCUCGACUUAUGGGUUUGAAGGCGAUGCUGGACUUAUCUGUACUUGAAGGCGUGCAGUUAACGAGUAACUGCCUCAAUUCUUGAGGGUCAGCCUAUUUCCUCAUCAAAACAUAAGCUGCCCAUCAAACUUGACGUGGCUACUGGCCAACUGCAAAUCUUCAAGUACCCAUAAGUCUAGCAAGCUAAUACCAUCAAUACUUCAACAGCAGCAUAUAAACAUGGAAACUUAUUUUAGACCUUAGAAUUUGAUAAGGUGACUGUGAUGAUGUAGAACAUGGAUAAAGCAUUCAAAACAUUUCAUUGUUAGGAAGUAUUACCUAUGGAAAAUAGGACAUCCCGUGUGGUUAGAUUAGCUAUGAACUGACGAGGAUCCCAGAAACUAUGACAUAUUGUUCUCUAGAAUGCCAAUCAGCACAUAGCUAAAGAGAUUCAAUACGCAAAUUUUUGACAACAAAGAGCAGCAGGAGGAAUAAGGAAAUGCUAAAAUGUAGACACUGAUCAUGCCUGGAGGGAUUCCAACAUAGAGCUCGCCAUCAAUCUUCAAAGGUUGAACGAAAGCUUCUUCAAGGAGCUCUUGAAACCUUCUU